rnacentral:tRNA from 1 species
ACUUAAUUAGUUUAAAUAAAAUUUUAAUUUGUGGAAUUAAAGAUAAAAAUUAUUUUAUUAGGUA